GAAUCAACGCCUGACUGACCCUGCCUGAUUGGUUUUUCAGAGAGAUCAGAGGAAAACUCCCAUUCUCUAUUUAAUUCUACCUCCAGGAAGUGCCUUUACCUGCCUGCUUUCAGUUUUACAGGAUUCCUUUAUCAGCAGCCAGUGAGUGGAAUGCAACAUACAGCUGAAUGUUAAAGAGACAUGAGGCCUCUCUGGUUUGUUCACUCAGUUCUAAAGCAAAACCAACUCCAGAAAAGGAGUGAGCCUGGAGUCUAGGCUGUGGGCCGCAUUUGAAACCAGAUUGGGGAAGGCAACAACUCACACAACACUUCAGCAAAACCUCUUGUACAAAAUUCCUCUUCAGCAUCUGUCUGAUGUUUCUACUCUGUGAGCUGCUACAGUGUUAGCUCAGUUGUCUUCCAGCCUUCAUCUACAAACUUGUGGGACCUAGAUGGCAAAGGAAAAUGAAAACCAGAAAUUGAGCCUUUCAUCUCUAAGUCACAGGUUCAAAUGCGGCCUAGGCUGGCCAUAGUCCUACUCAGUGACCCAUGUGAACAAGUGAUGGUGUGUAGUCCCAUUCUUAGCGGCUGGGCCUUAAAGAGAUUACAACUUGUGAUGAUAGUUUUGUGAGAUCCCUCAUUUGGUAACCUCUUUGAUGGUCUCAGGUGAGACAUGGAAAAUUGAAAUCAUUUGAAGAUGUUAAUUCCAUAACAGGGUUGAAGCUCAUUAGUGGGGAAUUGUUGGAGAAAGCUCUUUCUUUCCCUGGAUAAAUGGAGGACAUCAGCCUCUAGGGUUGUGAAUCUGACACCAGAUUCACCAGAAACAAAUUUUGCUUUGCUUCUUUGUAAACUAGACUUAACGUCAGUUCCCCACAUCUGCCCCCCACCCCACCCCACAUGCUUCCACCCGAACCCCGAACUAUUACACUUUAAUGAAAAAAUCAAGUACAAACUUGGACAGUGCAUUUCUGACUUCUUAAACUGUUUGAAGAAGAGUACAUUUUCUGCAAAAGACAGAAUGUUCACUUUCAUUCGCUAACAUAAUGUGCAUCAGCCCAUU